rnacentral:rRNA from 1 species
CCUACGGGCGGCAGCAGUGGGGGAUAUUGCACAAUGGAGGAAACUCUGAUGCAGCGACGCCGCGUGAGGGAAGACGGUCUUCGGAUUGUAAACCUCUGUCUUUGGGGAAGAAAAUGACGGUACCCAAAGAGGAAGCUCCGGCUAACUACGUGCCAGCAGCCGCGGUAAUACGUAGGGAGCGAGCGUUGUCCGGAAUUACUGGGUGUAAAGGGAGCGUAGGCGGGCGAGAAAGUUGAAUGUUAAAUCUACCGGCUUAACUGGUAGCUGCGUUCAAAACUUCUUGUCUUGAGUGAAGUAGAGGCAGGCGGAAUUCCUAGUGUAGCGGUGAAAUGCGUAGAUAUUAGGAGGAAUACUCAUUGCGAAGGCGACCUGCUAGAACAUAACUGACGCUGAUGCGCGAAAGCGUGGGGAGCAAACAGGAUUAGAUACCCCUGUAGUC